UACGUAGGGUGCAAGCGUUAAUCGGAAUUACUGGGCGUAAAGCGUGCGCAGGCGGUUUGUUAAGUCAGAUGUGAAAGCCCCGGGCUUAACCUGGGAACGGCAUUUGAAACUGGCAGGCUGGAGUACGGCAGAGGGGGGUGGAAUUCCACGUGUAGCAGUGAAAUGCGUAGAGAUGUGGAGGAACACCGAUGGCGAAGGCAGCCCCCUGGGCCGAUACUGACGCUCAGGCACGAAAGCGUGGGGAGCAAACAGG
rnacentral:rRNA from 1 species